rnacentral:tRNA from 1 species
UUUAUUUUAGUUUAUUUCAAAAUAUUAGUUUUGCACCCUAAAGAAUUUAAUCCAAGCAUAGUUUAAGUAUAAAA